UACAGAGGUCCCGAGCGUUGUUCGGAUUCACUGGGCGUAAAGGGUGCGUAGGUGGUGAGGUAAGUCGGAUGUGAAAUCUCCAAGCUCAACUUGGAAAUGGCAUUGGAAACUACCUCGCUGGAGGUUUGGAGGGGGGACUGGAAUUCUCGGUGUAGCAGUGAAAUGCGUAGAUAUCGAGAGGAACACCAGUGGCGAAGGCGAGUCCCUGGACAACACCUGACACUGAGGCACGAAAGCUAGGGGAGCAAACAGG
rnacentral:rRNA from 1 species